AGUUGGAGGUCAGGACCCAGGAAGUGCACGGCUCUGUCUUUCUGAGGGUCAGAGCUCUCCAAGGGCAAGAACAUGGUGCCUAGGUCUCUGCUGACUGAGCACUGCUUAGGGCUCUACCCAUCUUCUGACUGCUGUAUCAGUCCCUGGCCUCCUGUCAUUUACCCAACGAGGAUACAAAGAUGCUGGAGUGGAAGCCAAGUGGGGCGCGGAUCACCUGAAGUCAAGAGUUCGAGACCACCCUG
rnacentral:lncRNA from 1 species